rnacentral:rRNA from 1 species
AACGAACGCUGGCGGCAGGCCUAACACAUGCAAGUCGAGCGCCCGCAAGGGAGCGGCGGACGGGUGAGUAGCGCGUGGGAACGUGCCCUUUGCUACGGAAUAGCCUCGGGAAACUGAGAGUAAUACCGUAUGUGCCCUUCGGGGGAAAGAUUUAUCGGCAAAGGAUCGGCCCGCGUUGGAUUAGGUAGUUGGUGGGGUAAUGGCCCACCAAGCCGACGAUCCAUAGCUGGUUCGAGAGGAUGAUCAGCCACACUGGGACUGAGACACGGCCCAGACUCCUACGGGAGGCAGCAGUGGGGAAUCUUAGACAAUGGGCGCAAGCCUGAUCUAGCCAUGCCGCGUGAGCGAUGAAGGCCUUAGGGUUGUAAAGCUCUUUCGUGGGGGAAGAUAAUGACGGUACCCCAAGAAGAAGCCCCGGCUAACUCCGUGCCAGCCGCCGCGGUAA